AGGUAAAUUUUCUCCCCUUGUCUCGUUUUUCGAAGCUGAAUCCGCCUAUGGUCAAAUCGGAGCCAAACCACCGCCCAAUCGAUCGGAAAAUACUGUUGAAGUCCAGCGGUGCCGCUGCGGCUUCCUUCGAUUUUUGCCUCCGAUGAGGCCCUUUCUAGUUCCCGUUUGAUGCAAUUUUUACGCCACUGUGAUCACCGUUCUUUUCUCUACAGGUUAACCGGAGUAAAACAUCAAACCGCAACUCGCGCCGGAGAAGCCGCCGCACCAAAGAGCACCACCGCCGGUAAGUCUCAGUUUUUCGUAAUU
rnacentral:lncRNA from 1 species